CGAUAACGGCGUCGAGCGGCGGACGGGUGAGUAAUGCCUAGGAAAUUGCCCUGAUGUGGGGGAUAACCAUUGGAAACGAUGGCUAAUACCGCAUAAUGCCUACGGGCCAAAGAGGGGGACCUUCGGGCCUCUCGCGUCAGGAUAUGCCUAGGUGGGAUUAGCUAGUUGGUGAGGUAAUGGCUCACCAAGGCGACGAUCCCUAGCUGGUCUGAGAGGAUGAUCAGCCACACUGGAACUGAGACACGGUCCAGACUCCUACGGGAGGCAGCAGUGGGGAAUAUUGCACAAUGGGCGCAAGCCUGAUGCAGCCAUGCCGCGUGUGUGAAGAAGGCCUUCGGGUUGUAAAGCACUUUCAGUCGUGAGGAAGGUGGUGUAGUUAAUAGCUGCAUUAUUUGACGUUAGCGACAGAAGAAGCACCGGCUAACUCCGUGCCAGCAGCCGCGGUAAUACGGAGGGUGCGAGCGUUAAUCGGAAUUACUGGGCGUAAAGCGCAUGCAGGUGGUUUGUUAAGUCAGAUGUGAAAGCCCGGGGCUCAACCUCGGAAUAGCAUUUGAAACUGGCAGACUAGAGUACUGUAGAGGGGGGUAGAAUUUCAGGUGUAGCGGUGAAAUGCGUAGAGAUCUGAAGGAAUACCGGUGGCGAAGGCGGCCCCCUGGACAGAUACUGACACUCAGAUGCGAAA
rnacentral:rRNA from 1 species